AGAGACAGCAGUCGCCGCGGUAAUGCGUAGGGGGCAAGCGUUAUCCGGAAUAACUGGGCGUAAAGGGUGCGCAGGUGGUUUAACAAGUUAGUGGUGAAAGGCAUAGGCUCAACCAAUGUAAGCCAUUAAAACUGUUUAACUUGAGUGCAGGAGAGGAAAGUGGAAUUCCCAGUGUAGCGGUGAAAUGCGUAGAUAUUAGGAGGAAUACCAGUGGCGAAGGCGACUUUCUGGACUGCAACUGACACUGAGGCACGAAAGCGUGGGGAGCAAACAGGAUUAGAUACCCCAGUAGUCCCUGUCUCUUAUACA
rnacentral:rRNA from 1 species